rnacentral:rRNA from 1 species
CGAGUCUGCCUUGAAGAUCGGAGUGCUUGCACUCUGUGAAACAAGAUACAGGCUAGCGGCGGACGGGUGAGUAACACGUGGGUAACCUGCCCAAGAGAUCGGGAUAACACCUGGAAACAGAUGCUAAUACCGGAUAACAACAGAUGAUGCCUAUCAACUGUUUAAAAGAUGGUUCCGCUAUCACUCUUGGAUGGACCUGCGGUGCAUUAGCUAGUUGGUAGGGUAACGGCCUACCAAGGCGAUGAUGCAUAGCCGAGUUGAGAGACUGAUCGGCCACAUUGGGACUGAGACACGGCCCAAACUCCUACGGGAGGCAGCAGUAGGGAAUCUUCCACAAUGGACGCAAGUCUGAUGGAGCAACGCCGCGUGAGUGAAGAAGGGUUUCGGCUCGUAAAGCUCUGUUGUUGGUGAA